UAUUUGUCUCGGGGUGUCGGCGUUUUAGCGUCUGGUAAAUUAAGGGGAUGGCUCUCAGGAGCGCAUGGUGUCUCACCGCGCCUUCCCCCGUCUCGUCGUUAACGGCGUUCAGGCAAAAGCAGAGGGUCGCACCUCGCCUAGUGCGCCUGAGCCUGGUGAAGGCAACAAGCGGGCAGAGAUCCUGUCGUGAGACAUAAGCCCAUACUUCAGUCUUUAAUGAUGCUACAAAAUAACGUAGAAUUGCUCAAUAUGGGGUAUUGCAAACGCUUUAAGUUUUCCUUGAGUUUUACAGUCAACAGCUGCACAACCGGCAUAUGAACAGCUGUUCAUCAGCAGUGAAGAAGGAAAGACUUCAGGGAAGCUACACCAGAAAGCAUCAUUCGUAGAAACUGCCUUGCUCGCUUAGGGUCUUCAGUACUUGGGCAGAUGUGGUUGCCCUUUUGAGGAAGUAAAGAAUCCACUGGAUCUACAACACAUAGAUUUUAUUGUGAACUUCCCACUGAGAUCAACAGAUUAAGCUGUGCCUUCUAGUUUGCCCUUCUACAGCUGUGAAAAGUGUAGUUAGCUGUGGUUUUAUUUAUUGGUUUCCAUAUGGCAUCCCUGUUUCAAGGUGAGGGAACAAAUCCAUGCAUUUUGUCUGACAAUGAGGAAGCUUGCCUUAACAAUGAAUUUGCAGAGGAUUCUGUGUUAGCUAUUUUGACAAGAAUGUCGUAACCAAUUAAAAUACAGUCUCUGUUGGCAGCUAAGCAGGAAGGAUCACCUCUAGCAUUGUCAUUGAACAGAUUUCAUAACCUAGUGACUAAGAAGACAAGGAAAUGGUGUUUGAAUUUACCAGAUAUGAUUUGUGUGUUUAGUAAACAAGAACAUUUCAACAUAUAAUUUAUUUCAAUUUGUGCAUAUACAAAAAAAAAAAAACCAACAACAUAAUUACUUGGUCACUAGGACAGGCAAAUGGAGACAUUUCUAGACAGCAGCCAGAGGCAAUUCUCAGCUCUAGCAUUCUUUAAUUUAUAGGAAAGAAGAUCGAGAAUCACAUGUUAAGAAUUCUGAAUUUCACAGCCCUGUUCAGAGACUUCAUUCCUUUCCCAGAUACCCUUACUCCAUUGUCAUAUUAUCCUAACAAACUGAGUUUCCUUCUUACUGAUUCCCAUUUGUAUUUGGUUCACUGAACCUCUUCACUUUUCCUGUUCUUCUAGAUAUAGCAUUGCCUCUCCAGCCUUCCAAAGGUAGACUCCAGCUUCAAAGACUGGUAUCAAAAGAACAAGAUUAAAAUAGAGCUCUCGUUAAGUUCUUGACAUGGCAGGAGAAAGGGCCAACAGCUCCUACAGUAAAAAGAGAGAGAGAAGGAGAAAAGAACAGGGGAACUGUUCACCACAGGGCUGGAGGAUAAAUUAUUUCAAAGUUAAGGUAUGGUGCAGUCUCUUGUUUUUGUGAGGUUACUGGUUUCAGAGGAUUUUUCUAUUUAAGUUCACAUGGUGUUCAGACUGCUCUUCCUUCUCCAUGACCAGAGUGUCUAGAGCCAUACUCAACAGAAUGUUUAUUUGUAAUAAAUCAAUUUUAGAAUGUGUUUUUAAAAAGCAAUCUCAGUAUGCAAGUUAGUAAAAUGCCGUACAUACUAAGAACUUGUGUAUUCAGUUAUAAAAAAGUAUAACCUACUCAGAAUAUGUUCACAGGUUUCUGUUUGCAUUUCAAGUGAAAUGGGAACCAAGACAGUGUAGGGCCUUUACAGACACAGAAAAGCACAAACCUUCUCUUGAGUGUACACAGUUAGCAGGCUGCCACUCUCCUAAUUUUGGAGAAGCAAUUCUUAAGUAGCAUGCUUAUGUUCUGCUUACCUAGUGUCUUUAAGGCCCGGGUACUUAAGUCCUCAGGAAUUUCAGAAAGCAGAAAGGUCCUAGCCAUCAUUUACAAUGUACUCUAUUUUACUCUUCAGUGACUAAGGAGAGUUUUUUUACCCCAAGUGUUCUACCUUUCCACUAAAAGUAUGUAUUUCUGAGGAAUAAGAUGUGUGCUGUUUGGAUACUAAGGCUGGAAAUUUUAGAUUUGUAGCAAUGCAAACAUCUAGUUGAACCUCCCAGAGCAGUAGCUAAAGCACGUCCAAUUCUUACCUUUUUUAAGGUUAUUUUAUCAAAAUACUAUUUUUUGGAUCCCCAACCAACUGUAAUUCUGUUAGAGUAUCUUCCCCAGCUAAAUUUUAAAAUCUCCUUCUAGCCCGUUGAAAAUAGCUUAUAAGAGUGACAUUUUUCUGUUACUUAUAUGGAAGGGAUUCAAAAUAUAUUUCACACAACAGCCUGACCUGAGAAAAGGGCUCCUUUAAUGUUUCAAUGUGUCUUCCUAGUAUUUAUUAUAUGCAGCCUGGUUUUGACUUUCUGACAGUAAUGAUUAACAAUUUCCUCUAGCAAUACAUAAUUAUUACAUAUCCUUGAUGAUUUUAUUAUUGCUGCUCUCUUUGUCAAGAGCACAUUGUUAUUUUGCUUACAGCAGUCAGCAUUCUUAAAUGGCUACUUUCUCUUAGAGAAAUCUUACAAGGUAGUUUUGGAUAAUUACUUCUCUCUCCCAGAGGAUGUCAUGUGCAUUUCACUUAAACGGUUCUGAUAAGGUUCUGUGCUUCUGAGACAACCAAAAAGUUGUGGAAGAGUACACACAGGAUGAACCCUGCAGCUCCCUCUUAAGCAAAGGCUGCAGUCAAGUGCUGUUUUGCACCAUGUCAAAGCAACUGGUUCCUUGCACGCCUUACAAUUAGAAAAGAGUUGGUAUGCAGGGGAAGUAACCAGAAAUGGCACAGAUUUUAUCGGUCUCUCUGAUGAGCCAUCUUCAGUUAAACAGCCUUGUGGUCAUGGUAAGGACUGCGUGACUAAAAACCACUCAAAGUGUCUUACUUGUAUGGUGUAACUAUCUGUGUUGCGAUGGAUCUUGUUGUCAUGUUUAUGUCUUAGUCACAUCAGGGUUACAUUACAGGUCCCCCUACAGGGAGAUAAUAAAGAAGUGAGAGAAUGAGCACAGAGACAACCUCCUUCUGCUUCCUCUCUCAAAAUAGAGCUGGAGGCUGAUACAAAAUAAGGCAACCUAGUAACUGUGCAGUGCACUUUUUUGAGUAUGAGUGCUUCUAGUAUGUUCAGUGGCUGCCUCAUGGGUCCAGACCACGUAGUGAAGCCACAACAGCCACCAGAGAUGGAUCUUCACUCCCUUGUUUGGGAGGAGAUGCCAGCAGGGUAUUCUCCACUUGGUUCCGUCAUUCACUUUCUCUGUAAAAUGGAAGAGCUCUACCACGUUGCCCUUUAGGAUGUCACACAAAACAGCUAUUUAGAGAAGUAACUAUUUAGGAGAUAAAUUAAGCUGAUUUUUCCCCCUCAAAGAUCAGGAUUUCACAGGGAGGGGAAAAAAUAAAGGAAAAUGCUUGCUUUGUU